AUAGCAGUUCUGGAGACUGAAUUCCUCUAUUUAGCCACAGAACAGCUACAACAUGGGUGGAGGCUAAGCAAGCUUCCUUUACGCUGCUGCACCAACGUGAGUCAACCACAACCCACAGACAAGAAGGAAGUUCACUCUCCAUGGCCCAUUCGGCUCUUAGUCUCU
ensembl:misc_RNA